GACCUCAAAUCAGGUAAGAAUACCCGCUGAACUUAAGCAUAUCAAUAAGCGGAGGAAAAGAAAAUAACAAUGAUUCCCUCAGUAACGGCGAGCGAAGAGGGAUAAGCUCAAAUUUUAAAUCUGCUGGGUUUCACCUAACAGAGUUGUAUUUUGAAGAAACGUUUUCUGCGUCCCGGGUUAGCCUAAGUCCUUUGGGAUAAGGUAUCAUGGAGGGUGAGAAUCCCGUUCAUGGUUAAUCUUAAGGAUGCUCUACGAUACGUUUUCCAAGAGUCGAGUUGUUUGGGAUUGCAGCUCAAAAUGGGAGGUAAAUUUCUCCUAAGGCUAAAUAUUGGCGAGAGACCGAUAGCGAACAAGUACCGUGAGGGAAAGAUGAAAAGAACUUUGAAAAGAGAGUUAAACAGUACGUGAAAUUGUUGAAAGGGAAACGAUUGAAGUCAGUCAUACCAACGGGAAAUCAACCUUUUGAGCUUUGUCUCGUGGGUUCGAAGAGUUUAAACGCCUUCGGGUUCGCGAGAUUGGGAUCUUCUGGUGUACUUUCUCGUACGGUUAGUCAACAUCGGUUUUGAAUGUCAUAAAAUGACUGGAGGAAUGUAGCUUCGAUCUCGUAUCGAAGUGUUAUAGCCUUUGGUAGAUGUGAUGUUUGAGACCGAGGAUUGCAACGGAUACCCUUUAAGGGCUAUUCGUCUGAUCUCUGAUACGUUGCCUUGACGUUGAAAGCUUGCUUAUGAUGUUAGGGUAUUACGGUCAAAAGGUUAGAACGGAUUAAAUUCGUUAAGGAUGUUGACGUAAUGACUUUAAACGACCCGUCUUGAAACACGGACCA
rnacentral:rRNA from 1 species